AAUACAUGCAAGUCGAACGCUUUGUGGUUCAACUGAUUUGAAGAGCUUGCUCAGAUAUGACGAUGGACAUUGCAAAGAGUGGCGAACGGGUGAGUAACACGUGGGAAACCUACCUCUUAGCAGGGGAUAACAUUUGGAAACAGAUGCUAAUACCGUAUAACAAUGACAACCGCAUGGUUGUUAUUUAAAAGAUGGUUCUGCUAUCACUAAGAGAUGGUCCCGCGGUGCAUUAGCUAGUUGGUAAGGUAAUGGCUUACCAAGGCGAUGAUGCAUAGCCGAGUUGAGAGACUGAUCGGCCACAAUGGGACUGAGACACGGCCCAUACUCCUACGGGAGGCAGCAGUAGGGAAUCUUCCACAAUGGGCGAAAGCCUGAUGGAGCAACGCCGCGUGUGUGAUGAAGGGUUUCGGCUCGUAAAACACUGUUGUAAGAGAAGAAUGACAUUGAGAGUAACUGUUCAAUGUGUGACGGUAUCUUACCAGAAAGGAACGGCUAAAUACGUGCCAGCAGCCGCGGUAAUACGUAUGUUCCAAGCGUUAUCCGGAUUUAUUGGGCGUAAAGCGAGCGCAGACGGUUAUUUAAGUCUGAAGUGAAAGCCCUCAGCUCAACUGAGGAAUUGCUUUGGAAACUGGAUGACUUGAGUGCAGUAGAGGAAAGUGGAACUCCAUGUGUAGCGGUGAAAUGCGUAGAUAUAUGGAAGAACACCAGUGGCGAAGGCGGCUUUCUGGACUGUAACUGACGUUGAGGCUCGAAAGUGUGGGUAGCAAACAGGAUUAGAUACCCUGGUAGUCCACACCGUAAACGAUGAGUGCUAGGUGUUUGAGGGUUUCCGCCCUUAAGUGCCGCAGCUAACGCAUUAAGCACUCCGCCUGGGGAGUACGACCGCAAGGUUGAAACUCAAAGGAAUUGACGGGGACCCGCACAAGCGGUGGAGCAUGUGGUUUAAUUCGAAGCAACGCGAAGAACCUUACCAGGUCUUGACAUCCCUUGACAACUCCAGAGAUGGAGCGUUCCCUUCGGGGACAAGGUGACAGGUGGUGCAUGGUUGUCGUCAGCUCGUGUCGUGAGAUGUUGGGUUAAGUCCCGCAACGAGCGCAACCCUUAUUACUAGUUGCCAGCAUUCAGUUGGGCACUCUAGUGAGACUGCCGGUGACAAACCGGAGGAAGGUGGGGAUGACGUCAAAUCAUCAUGCCCCUUAUGACCUGGGCUACACACGUGCUACAAUGGCGUAUACAACGAGUUGCCAACCCGCGAGGGUGAGCUAAUCUCUUAAAGUACGUCUCAGUUCGGAUUGUAGGCUGCAACUCGCCUACAUGAAGUCGGAAUCGCUAGUAAUCGCGGAUCAGCACGCCGCGGUGAAUACGUUCCCGGGUCUUGUACACACCGCCCGUCACACCAUGAGAGUUUGUAACACCCAAAGCCGGUGGGGUAACCUUCGGGAGCCAGCCGUCU
rnacentral:rRNA from 1 species